AAACAGAAAUGCUGAGCCUCCCAAGCUAAAGGGAAAGUCAGCCCUGCUGAGGAGGGGGGCGGAGGAGCUCAGUCACUGAGGCUGCCACACCAGAGUCGGGGGUGAGGGAUCAAGGCGAGGCUGACAGGUGACAGGGUGAGUGGAAAAUCCUAAGAGCAAAGCUUCUCAGGGACCAGCAACCCGCGCAACACAGGUGCGACAUGAAGACAUCAUCUGUGGCAGGCUGUCGCUGUUCCAACAGUUUUAUCAUCUUACAGAAGAUCAUGGUCAGUGCCACAUCAUUUAUUUAAAAACAGCACUGCCAGAGUCCUUCAUCGAGUAUACAAUUUUUCAACAAUUUACAAAUCAUUAAUGAAAAAAAGGAUUAAGCACUAUUUGUGUGUGGGAGUUCUAUCAGUGGCAUGAUUUUUAACAUGGUGUGUGUUUAACCACACGCACAAAUGGCUAUCAUAAUUAUGUUCGCCUCUGGUUUCAAAUAAUGUAAUUCCUUGGACACUUCUUGUAAAAGUUGGUGCACUAAAUUGCUAAAUUCUUCUUUAGGCAGCGCAGAUGGACCGGAUAAGGGUCUCUCAAGCUUCAUCUGUCUCCUAUAUCCUGGCACUUACUGCCUUGGUUUGAUGGCUGUUUUUCUUUUUCCUUGGCUAGGCAAGCCAUUUUACGUUUCUCCUCCCUCCUCCUCCUCCCUCCUCCUCCUCCUCCUUGUUUUUGAGAUGGAGUUUCGCUCUUGUCGCCCAGGCUGGAGUGCAGUGGCAUGAUCUCGGCUCACUGCAACCUCUGCCUCUUGGGUUCAAGCAAUUCUCCUGCCUUAGCCUCCUGAGUGGCUGGGAUUACAGGCACCUGCCACCAAGCCCAGCUGAUUAUUGUACUUUUGGUAGAUACGGGGUUUCACCAUGUUGACCAGGCUGGCCUCGAACUCCUGGCCUCAGGUAAUCCACCCGCCUCGGCCUCCCAAAGUGCUAGAAUUACAGGCAUGAGCCACCGCACCCGGCCUUUUUUUCUUCUUUUAAUGGAAAUAAAAUCAGAGGCUUGUGGCCGCACCAGGGCCUCAAUUCUUUCAUGAUUUUGCCACCGAUGGAUGUCUAGAGUGAGCCCUCCUCUCCUCUCACCUUUCCUCUCUUCCAUUCUCUGCCCUGCAGCCUGUGUUUCCUUUUCACCUCUUUCUGUGGCCCAGUGUAAAAUACUUUUGUCUACAAAUGUUUUCCCAGAAGACCUCUCGUCUUUUUUUUUAGGAUGGUAAAGAUGAAGUUGCCUUUUAAGUGGGAAGAAUGGAACGUCUCUCUGCUUCCACCACAAACUAAAGUUAAGGUGAGUCACUGAAUGUUCGGGCAUCUACGUCAGACCUAGGAAACGGGAGAGCUGUUCACUUAAUCUCACUCCCUCUGAAAUUAGAUUCUCACUGUGGACAACUAACAUUUUCCACAGCACAGAGCGUUGAUAUUUCUCUUCUGGGGACCAUUUGUUGUUGUUGUUCUUAGAUCUCAAUCUUUCCUGGUUUUUGCUAUUUAAAGAAAUUGUCUUCUCUCAGUUGAGUUGGAAAUAAAGCUCGCAGAAAAUCACACAUAGCUGAAGCAGUGAAUACUAAACUAUAUUAAAAAUGCAAUAGCCUUGGGAUUACAUUGUGCAUAUGAAUGUCUGAAAGAUCAAAGGCAUUACGAAUUCAAAGGAAGCUCGGCCAUCACAGCAAACCACGGGAGUGAGCAAACUCAAGCAAAUUACAAAAUAGCCGAAGGUGCCUGAGGAAGAAGCGCACAUACCCACAAACCAGCCGUCAUCACACUUUUCCAUGACAUCAAUGACAUCACUUUCUCUGAGCUCCAGCUCAUCUUCAUUCCUGGGAGUAUAGUUAUACAGAGCCUGAAACCUUAAACAGGACAAGGGAAUGUGUUUAAAAACAUCUUGACACCUUCAUGAAAUAUAGAAGAUAGAACAAUAUUCAUUCUUCCUUUAACAUUCCUAUUCUUAACAACAUUCUGUUGGGUGGUACAAGCCUGGUAAGCAUGUAAAUAGCAUUCUAUUGGAUGGUACAAGCCUGGUAAGCAGGUACAUAGCAAUAUGUAGAUCUUCACAGGCAUUAGAACACUCUAACAACAUUUUGAAACUCACGAGGAAUAUCCAUGAAAAUUGUAACAUUCAUAAAUUGGAUUAAAAUAUGUCAACAUGUAUAAGUCAGACCCGCAUUUCAGUUGUCCAGCCAUCUAACGUCUAUCAUUUAGACAUUAAAUAAUAGUACAAAAUAUAAAAUAAGUGAUAUUUGUAUUAUUUAACUGUUUAAAAACAAGAAGGAAUCACAAUUUUAGCUAGCCAUAAUCAGAAGCAAAUAAUGGGGGCUUGAGAAUUGAAUUUUCAAAGGUUCUAAAUGGAGAUAGACAAAAUGUGUCAGACAUGUCUUUUUAAUCACUCUGUGUGAAUUACUAUACAAAGGAAAAUUAUUUUUUUUACUAAGAGGAAUUCUUUAGAUCAGUUUAAUGUUAUGGUUUGGAUCAGUGUUUUCUGAGGAUGUAGAAUUGGAAGAUUUGAUGUAAUUAGCCUAUGAAGUUGAGUAGAUGUAUUCUAUGUGCAGUUAUUACUGAUUCCAUUUCAAGCAGACUAUGGACAUAAGUCUCUUUUUAAAAUGAGUCCCAGAAAAAUUGUAUUUGAUUUUAAAACUCUCUCUUGAAAUAAUUUUAUAUAAAAAAGAAUUAUUGAUAGAAUGCUAUCACUUUCCUUUCCCGGCCUGAAUUCUUUGACAGCAUAUACUGUGGUGGAAAUUGAUCAAUAAUGAAUUCAGACACUGAAUUUGUGGUAAGAAAACACCAUACAUUAUAAUAAAUAGUAACAUGGGCUGGUGUUUUUGGAAAAUGAAGGCGAAAUUACUGUAGCUGAGAAGGUCAAGAAGAAUUUGAUAGGCAGUUAACAUGAAAACUUCUUCAUAAUAGUACUAAAAUAUUACCAGUACUGUGAGGGGGUUUUUAAAAAUUGGGAAUUUGUUUCUGCUGCUUUCUGUAACAGUCAUGUCAUUCUGCUAAUGUGAGAAAAUAAUUACCACUUUCUAGGGUAUUUUAGAUUUUUUCAUGCCAACUUAAAAAAGUUGAUAAUCUUGACUACCGCUCCGGAACAAGAAUGAUUUAUUUUUAAUUACUUUAUGAGUCAGAAAAUAAUAUUUUGGUAGAACAAAACUAUUCUAUCAUUUAAACUCAAAUCUUAUGUCAUUAAUAAGCAACAGUGACCUACUGGCUUCCCCCCGUUCAUCCAGCAUUUGGACUGGGGGAGCUGGAUAGAGUUGGCUUCAGAGAAUGCCUAACAACAUCCCCUAGAAAAUAUUGUUUUCCCUGGCCUGGCACCAAAGCCUGAAAUUUCAACAUUAGAGGCUUCUUCUCCUGUUAAAACUUCAUCCUUCCAGUAGACCUUACAGCCACUUAUAUCCUUUUGAGCAUGGGCUUCUGAGGCCUUUUCUUGAGAGAGGGGUUUGUGAUUAUGGGGAAGGGCAGAGAAAGGCAGCUAGCAUCCCAGAGUAGUGGCCAAAAAGACAGGCAGGUGUGGAAUACAGAAACGUCACCUGAUUUGGAUGUUUGCAUGUGGCCAGCUUUGCUAGGGGUAGUCCAUUUAUUUUGUUGCUUGUGUAAAGAAUUUGAUUUGGAGGCUGCUCAGGUGAAGGGGUGGUAUCUUUUGUGUAUCUGUGGGGAAAGUUCACGGUCCCUUUUCCAGUUUCACAUUUGAGAGAGAUGGUGGUUCCUGGGCUGCUGUUUUGAUGGAUACACACGGCAUUUCUCACUUUGGGAAAACUGAUUCUUUUAUUGAGCUUCUCAGGCUUGAACCCUGCCCAGGCUCAUCUCCACCCACUCAUGGAGACCGGUUACCUAAGGCUGCAAACCUCAGCUGCUGGAAAGAAUCUCAAGGUCUCAGAGCUAACGCAACAAAAUUGGCACAGACUCCUGCUUCAUUUUUGUCUGAUGAAAGCCAGCAUGUUUGUCCAAAUUUAUUUACCAUUCUGGUUUAAUUAGACCACAGAAACAAAAACAAAACAAAAGAAAACCCACGGAGUUUUAUGGAAACGUAAACACACCUUCAGGAAAUCCUCCUGCCUCUCCUGGCUUUCAAAGCCAGUGUUGCACAAUGGGAAAUGAAGACAAAUCCAAUGUUAAAAAAUGCUGUUGUGAAAGAUGUGUUGGUGAGGUGAGUGAUGGUGGUGGGGUAAGGAUGCCUCAAAAAGAAAGGUGUCUUUUAAACAGGAAAUGCUGAGCCAGACUGGAAGCCCUCUCGAUAACUUGCAACUUUUUCUAGAACAUAUUUCACUAAAACUCUGAAUUGUAGUGACAUAACAUUAUGUUCCUACUUUGGCUCAAAACUUAUUUUUAAAUGAAAGCAACUAAGCAACACCCUAAAAUCCCACUAAUUCAGGCUAUAAUCAAAUAUAAAUUUAAUAAACAAUGUUUUCUAAUAUACAAAUCAGGACUUUGAAAAUGUAACAUAUCUUUCAUUCAUAAACACUUUGAAAGCUGUUUAAUAUAACAUGUUGGUAAUGCAAUAAACCUAAACAGCCCUGGAAUUUAUUUUUUAUCAUGUGAUCUUAUCAUCGUUUGGGUAAAUAAGAGAACAAACAAAAGCUUUAGAAUGACAAGUCGUAUUUAGUGUUUUCCAGUUAAGCGAUCUUUUUGUUUGUUUGUUUGUUUGAGACAGGGUCUUGCUCUGUUGCCCAGGCUGGAGUGCAGGGCCAUCAUCAUGGCUUAUUGUAGCCUUGAUCUCCCUGGCCCAAGUGAUCUUCCCACCUCAGCCUACUAAGCAGCUGGGACUACAGGCGCAUGCCAUCACACCUGACUAAUUUUUUAUUUUUAUUUUUGUAGAGAUGGUGUUUUGCUAUGUUGUCCAGGCUGGUCUUGAACUCCUGGGUUUUGGCCUUCCAAAGUGCUGGGAUUUCAGGCAUAGUGACUGCACCUAACCUUCAGUGAGAUUUCAAAUGAUUAUCACUGCUAACCUGUUCUUUCCAAAAUACAGACUUUCCCGCAACAAGAACACUUUUCUGCCUGUGCUCUGUGAGAGCCAGUCUCAUCCGGAGCUGCUUUUUGCUAAGUUUCAGGUCUGUGAGGAGCAAGGAAGGACUUGAUGGUGAUAAAGGCACCAGGUCAUAUGCCAGGACCUGCCGCAAGGAGGAGGCUAUUGUUAGCCUGUUCUGCUCCAGGUGAGCAGAGUGUGGGCAGUGGGUCAGGAUCCCCAGUGUGUGCUCAGAUAUGGGGGACAAGGGGUUAGGUCCAUGAAUAAGCCUUCCCAGGGGUCUCACUCUCGACUCACAGUGUGGGCAGAGGCCAACAGGAAGCUGAUAACUCCUGAACGUCUCUCAGGGACAAAAUGGGCCCGAAAAAGAAACACACAGAGAGAAUCUUCAAGACAACGUGUGACACCUUCAGGCUGAUUUAACUCAUGUAUCAGAAAGGAGAAGGAAUUUGAAAGGAAAGUUUGAAAAGGCAUUUUCCUGGUGCUGUGGAAGUAAUCGCAUGUAACUGAAUAACAGUGAGUGUUUUAAUACUGCCCUUUUCAAAUGACCCUUCUAAGCAUGUAACUUUGGAAUGAUGGAAUGAUCGCUUUAGGUCUUUUUUACACUGAGGUCCACUUUUACCGUCUCCCAGUGGGUGUAAAAGUAAGGUUAGAACAUGUUCUGUAUGUCUUUGAAGCUCGCAGUUACUCGUUACACAGCCAGCAGAGCAGAGAGGGAGACAGAGUUAUCCAUCUUAGGAAUCACUGAAGCAUUGGGAAGUUUUCCUAGUGUGUCAAUUAAAAUCUUCUCAGAGAACUAUGGGUUCUUUUAAAAAUUAGUUUCUGGUCACUGUCAUAAAAGAUGGAGAGACUAUUACAAUUUCUCGUAAUUUAAGAGGCCUCAUGUUAGUUUGAUCUUUCACGUGCAAAGCCAUACAUCUUACAUUUUGGUACAGUUGUCCAUUUUGUGGGUCAAGGUUAGUCUCAAAUUUAGAAGAUAAGAAGAAUACUUACGGUUCCCCCCCACCUUGAAUAUUUUCAUGAGUAAACACAGGACGCUGUGGCUGAAAUGAAAUGAUUUUCAAUGUAAUCAAUGUUUAAACUGGUACUAAUUAAAAGAUAAUUUGGAUAAUGGCAUGGUACUUUUCUUGACAUUUAAUAUUUCCUGUUGUAAAAAACCAAGAGGAAGAAAAAAACCAAAUAAAAGCUUUCUGCAGGAUUAAUAAUUAAAAUAUUUAAAGGGAGCUUUAAAUUAAAGCAAAAUAAGCAAGGUCAAAUGUUUUGAACAUGUCUACAAUCUAGUCUGCUCAAGCUUUAAGGAAAAGUCAGGGUUUGGUCCCAUUGAUUUUUCAAAGGCCAGGAAUAAGGCAAGAACAUAGACGGCAAACCACUAGAAUAGGAAAUAUAGACACCUUCAUACAACCUUAUUCUCCAGCGUUUUCUCAAACAAGCAGAAAAUAAACCACAUUUAGUUUAACAGCAAAGUAUCCACACUCAUUCUUUCAAUCUUUCCUUCACAGACAACAUUUUCACAUACAGCACAGAGGAAAAUAUCAAUAGGCAGACAUCCCAUGCUACAUUUGAAUUAACAUUUUCUGUUCUCAAUGUGGAGAGAAAACAUGCAUUUUUAAAAAGAGAAAACAGAACUUUGGAAUGCAACGAACAAUAUCCGGGUAACAUGUAACAUUUUACCUUAGAAGAGAAACAUUGGUAGAAAUUUCCAGUGCACUGAACUCUCAAAAGAGUUUCUUUUCUUUUUAAACUAAGCAUCAAGACCAGUAUCUGUAAUAGAUACUUAUAAUAUUGGAAAUGACAAGCCUUAGCAUCCCAUAUACCCACAUUAAUAUUUUCAGUGAAUGAAAGUUAACAUGUUUGUUGAAUAUAUAAACUCAGUGUAAUUUAUAUUGACUACCUAAACUUUACCUUUUAGGGGAGAAAUGCAAACAAAUCAUUCAUAAUCCAUUUCAAAAGCAUUUGCUUCUAAAUGAUAGCUACAGGGUAAAAUCAGAAUUUGCAUGGCAAUUAUAUAAGUGACUGUUUGAUGACUACUGAAAUAGCUAUUAGAUCCAUGUCCUUAGACUUUGGGACCAGUUCUUAGAUUUCCAUAGUUAUGAGUGGAUUACUGAUAGGCUGAAAUCUCUUGCUGCCAAUUGUCCAUAGAAACCCCACUGAUCCAAGCUUGGAUGGAUAAUUCUGAGGUUCCUUUCAGUCUACGAGUCAAUGAUUCACCCACUUCCUAAAUUCUUUAUCCACCCCCUUUCUAUCCUACUUGUCUAUCUAGCAUAAGACUAGGUACUCACAGUACUAAAACUGUAAGCUCUGACUCGGUUAACUGGAAACCUUUAUUAACAGUGUUCUUAGAAAUUUCACUCAACAGUCUGUGGAUAGAAUAUUUAAAACUAGAGUGCGUAAGAAUUACUGCACACAAUUAUGACUUAAGAGUGAAAUAGUUUACUCCUGUAAAUCAAUAUGACUACUAAUGAUGUAUCUAUUAUUAAAAUUGGAAGAUAUUCAUAUUUUAAGAAAAAUUAUGACUAACCAGUUUUCCAACCAUCUUAAAGGUCAUUUAAUUCAAGAUAUUAUUAAAUCAAUUUAAAUAUAUAAGAUGGUAAUUGUAAGUCAUUGAUAAGCCUGUAUCAUAUUACCUAUUUCAAGUUCUCUUCCAGUCCAAUAAAACUUUAUAUAUGUAUAAAACUUUCAUGCAGAAGUAAGAUUUGUAUACAUCAAUUGCCAUUAAUAUUAUUUUGUAAUAACUUUCCAGUCUUUUUUUCUCAGUCUUCUUUCUUAUUUCAAAUGUCUGCAGAAUAAUGUUCUCCCACGUGUGUCUACAUAUCAUAGUUUUCUUAACCAUUCCUCUCUUUUUUUUUUAGUUUUGAAGUUAGAAUUGGUCUAGUCUUUUUUUUUUUGCUAUCAUAAACAGCAAUGCUAUACACAUUUUUUAUGCAAAGAGCUAUUUUCUUCUUUUGAACUAUUCUUUAGAAUAUAUUCCCAGGAGUAAAACUUCUGGCCAAAGAGUAUGCAUUAAAGCCAUAUGAUUUUGAGAAUGUACAUGUUAGUCACUGAAAAAUACUGUACUCAAAAGUAACUUGAAAAUGUCUAAUAUGCCAGACUGCAUAUCAUAUACCAAGAUAGCUACUACUCUUUCCCCAAAACAAUCAUAGCACCAUUUGCAGUGCAUAAUAAAGUUAUGAAUAAGAAAAUAUUAUUUAUUCUUGUCUUAAGAGAAAAUGUUGUGUAAAAUAUAUUUCAUUAUGCUCUAAAAUUGGCAUCCCUGUUUUCACACAUUUAAACCAUUUUAAUAUUUUAAAAUUGAGUAAAAGUUUCAACUUCUACAUCAUGGCAUCCAAUGCUUUGUAAAACUGGUUAGUUUCAUUUCAUUGCUCUUUUGUUAAAAUGUGAAUACCACUUUAAAAAUCAAAUUGUUCAUUAAUGUAAAACAAUCAACUUUUAAAGUCCGUAUAUCCCUUUUUAGUUAUCAUCAUUAUAAUUCUACUAGUUUAAUUCCUUUAACUCAACCCACCUCAUCAAUCAUUUAACUGAACUGUCCCAUUGACCAUUAUGAAAAUUUGGUGAUUGCUGCAAACCUGCAGCUUCCUGGAUCCCACGUCCAUGGCUGGAGAACGUAUGUUCCUGUGUGGGGCAGCCAGCACCGUCCUUGCUUUUUUUUUUUUUUUUUUUUUUUGAGAUGGAGUCUCACUCUGCCACCAGGCUAGAGGUCAGUGGUGUGAUCUUGGCUCACUGCAACCUCUGCCUCCCGGGUUCAAGCGAUUCUCCUGCCUCAGCCUCCCGAGUAGCUGGGACUACAGGCACGCACCACCGUGCCCAGCUAAUUUUUGUAUUUUUAGUAGAGACAGGGUUUCACCAUGUUAGCCAGGAUGGUCUCGAUCUCCUGACCUUGUGAUCUUCCCGCCUUGGCCUCCUAAAGUGCUGGGAUUACAGGCGUGAGUCACUGCGCCCGGCCCCCGUCCUUGCUUUUACCUGUUUCCCAAUUUCUCUUUUCCCUUCCUUCAUAUCUUUCAAACCCUGCCCCUCUUUUUACACACAAAUCAUCAGUUUUCUAUACUGUUCACAUCCUGAGGCCAGAAUCAAUCAAGACUUUUCGUAGCAGAGAAGUUGUGUGUGUCUUAUAAUGGCGAGUUUUAGAACUUUUCAAAGCUUACCUUUAACAAGAAUCACCUCCAUGUUAAUGUGGAUAACUAGGAGACAGUUUUGAGGAAAGCUGACUAAUUACAGUACUUGAAAUAGUUUAUUUUAAAGGCAUUUGACUAGUAGGGAAUGAGUAGCAAGAACAGUUAUCUAAGACGGCUCAUCUGCGUCUUUCUGUUUUGGGCGUUAAGCACCAUAUAACCUUGGGGAUGCCUCAGCUUCCCUAUCUCUGAAAUCAAUGAGUUGGACAAGAUGAGGGUUAAUCGGGUCCCCUCAGGGAUUCCAUGAAGGAUACACAUUUCCACAGAUGUAUUUCCUCUGCUGUGUAAAGGUGUCCGUCAUCAGUUUUACACAGAGAGCUGGGACACUGACAUUGAUUGGUUAAUUCUCAUGUGUCUCGGUCACGUAAAAAAAAAUAAUGGUUACAAUUCAACUCCAUUUUGCAGAAUGGUAAACCAAAACCCAAAGAUACUGGAUAAUUUCUUAAUACGACAAAUAGGUAAAAAACAAACAGAAAAAGAAACAAAAUGGUAAUUUCGAUGUGCACGCUAUUGCAUGAAAGAUUACUAUGAUGGACUACUUGGCCUACCUUGGCUAAAAUCAGCAUCUUAAUUUUGACGCUGAGGUAGGUGCAAAUGUCCUAUAAGGUGAUGUAAAUAGAUUAUCUGGGGAGACUGUCUUUCGCCCUUUCCCCUUGGUGAUGUAACUCAAAUGGCAAGUCGCUUAAGCAGAGAUUUGUAAUGCAGCUGCACUCUGUCGCCACCUAGUGGUGAGCAAUGGCAGCAACAAGCUGAGAGUUGUUUCUGCUUUAUCUGCCCCUUUUUAUCCAAGUUCCCAAGGCUGGAAAAAUUUUAAAAGCCUAUUUUAAAGGCCGCAGAGUGAUGUGGAAUAGACAGUCAUCUGUUUUCCUAACCAUGUUCUUCCCUCCCCACGUUUUAAAUUUUUGAGAAAGCAUCCCUUGUAAAGCCACCAGCAUUUUUGGUCCGUGUCCAUUUCUAUUUUGACUAUCUGUGCAGGCAUUUCCAUUUCCCCUAACUUCUUAGCAGUUUUAAGAUAAAUAUAGAACAAUAUACACUUGUGACAUUCAGAGAGGCUUACAUGAGCUGAACCUAGAAAGAUGGCUUUCAACUGACACAUUACAAUCACUGUGCUGGGCAUUUUGAACAAGAAUUAUAUUAUGCUUAUAUUUCCUUGAUGAAUCUUAAGAGUAGAACAAGAGAAAAAUCCAGUGAAGCAUGCUGCGGUUUUCAUCGUAUCCUAAAUAUGUAUUUUUUUCUGUAGCCCUGACUAUGUAAGUAUUUUUCUGUAGCUAUUUUUUAAUGUUGUCAAAAACGGAUACAAAAGAGACAAGUUUUAAACACAUGCUAAUUUCCAAAGCCAGAACCAAUCACAAGUUGCUGUUCAUAAGGAAGCUGGUUUGAAACAUCAUGGAGUCUGUAACAUCAGUAAAAUAUAUACUUUCCGAUCUUAGUGAGCUACAGUCUGUUGAAAAGCCGUCUAAUUUAUCAAAGCUUCUGCAGUUAUCUCUGGAGGAUUAGCUAUAUUUAGUAUCAAAUAAUUCUUAAAGAAGGAUUGACUGUUACUUUAAACACUAAUGCAAAAAAAUCUCUGAAAGCAAUAUAAGCAGUGCUAAAGUGUUUUUAUCUUUUUUUAUAAAAUAUUAGUUGUCAUAUUUGCCCACCAGAAUUCGAUGAAAUUCUCCUAAUAAUACCACGUUUAUGUUUCUAGAGGCUUAUUUUUCCUUCUUAAAUUAUGAAGGUAAAACACAACUUUGCAUAAAUCUAAAAAAAUAGAAUAUUUAUGGUUCACACAAACACACGUGUAAUCUGACAUACAAAUACAUAAUGUAAAAAUCAGGCAAAAAAUAAAAAAAAAACCUUAAGGGGAACACAAGCAUACCAUCUCGUGGACCCACAGGAGGGUUAUAGAUGGGUCCUUUUCACUGCAAAAGAAGCUUAUGUUUUGCUUUGGCUCUGGAAGGCCAUUCGGGGGAGUCUAAGAGUCUCUACAAAUUGGCAUUUCUGUCUCUAUGGCAACACAAAGCUCUGCCUCAGCAACAAAAUGAGGUCUUCCUAUGCAAUGCAAAAAGCACAAAGUGGCAUGAAUGCAGAAUAAUAUCGACUUUUCUUUAGAAAUAAAAAAUGAAGACUUCUGUGAAAUCAAGCCCUUGAGAACUUCUUGAAAUGCAGAAGCACGGCCAUGCGAUAGGCCAGUCAAGGUUGAAUCCGGGUCCAUUAAAACAGAAAUGAGGAAAGGAAUCCUGACUUAUGUCCAGAUGAAAAUUUCCAAACUCCUUGGCUGCAUUCCUUAGAAUUGAUAGUAAGUACCAUUUAGAGUCCAUGUAUUUUAAAGUACUGUAGAUACUAUGGAACGAAGUAGCUAAGGGAAAGUAAUUUGACCUUUAAGUUCAAUCAGAGCUGGCAAGAAAUAGGAAGUGGAUAGAAUCCAGACAGCAGUAUGGGGACAAAAGGCAGACUGAGAGGAUGUAGUGCACAUCACCAGAGAAACAGAAGAUGUUAGACAAGAAUCAUGGAUUUAAAAAAAAUCCAAAUUGAAUGACACAGAAGCAAACAUGACCGGAAGUGUGUGAGUUCGGCACUGUAGAUGCUUGGCAACAGUUUUUUCUUUGCAGGAGAAACGGUGACUAGAAAGCAGUGAUUUAGUGUAGAACCAUGAGACAGAUGUAGACCACAAAACACACGACACUCUUAUUUGUAGAGUAGAGAAUCUGACCAUGUCUUUGUGGAGUUUGGAAACCUCACACACACCUAAAAGGGAAGCACAUCACCAGGUGGUCGCUUCAUCUUCAGGGUGUCUCCAGCCUCACUUUAAGGCCAGUUCACAGCAAAGACAACUAAGGAAGAGCCAGCCCUGGGGGCGGGGGAGGUGGCCAGGAUGCCUGCCACAAAGUGGGGGCAUGCUGACCCUACCCUGUGGGAACCGCUGAGCCCUCUGACAGGUGAGCCGCAGAAUCUCCUAGACAUCACUGGGCUACGAGGAGGCUUACCCAGGACACAUAUCUCGCUUUUUACGUCAGCCUGGAAAAUGUACAAGAAGUUAGUUAGCUCUCAUCUUCGUCACACAGACUUCAGGAGGAGCUUUCCUGGCUGGCUUUUUCCAUGCACACACAGCAUGCCAAACUCCUGCACAACAGCAGGGCAGGGAGGGUCCACAGCUUCUCCAGCUGCUUAUACAGUUUCCACACCACAGGCACCAGCUGCCAUCUUAACAUGGCACCCACAGGCACAGCAGAAAAAGGUUCACAGAGGAAAGCUGGCAUAGGGAAGAGGCCAAGAACAUAUAAGAAAUGUUAUAUCUUUUUUUGUCUUUUAUUUUUUUGAGACGGAGUCUGGCUCUGUCGCCCAGGCUGGAGUGCAAUGGCACAGUCUCGGCUCACUGCAACCUCCAUCUCCCGGGUUCGAGCGAUUCUCUUGUCUCAGCCUCCCGAGUAGCUGGGAUCACAGGCACCCGCCACCAGGCCCAGCUAAUUUUUGUAUUUUUAGUAGAGACAGGAUUUCACCAUGUUGGUCAGGCUGGUCUUGAACUCCUGACCUCAAGUGAUCUGCCUGCCUCGGGCUCCCAAAGUGCUGGGAUUACAGGUGUCAGCCACUGCGCCCGGCCAAGAAAUGUUAUGUCUUUCAUAGAAUGCUUAGCAAUUGGGUUCAAGAUGCUCUCAAACCUGCCCUGCUUUUUCAUCUUAUUGAAGGGAUGCAAGGUGAGAUAGAGGAGAAUUUGGCUUAAUGCCUGUCAAAUUUCAUGGACUGUAUCAGACAUUUGUUGGAGGCAAAAUUUUCUAACACAUAAGAAGAAAAUAAGGCCUUUUUGGGGGGAAACAUGGUGAAAUUUGAUGAACUACUGAAGUGCCAACCUGUGGGCUGGACUGUUUUGGUGUUUUUUUUUUAUUUUCAGAGUAAGAUCUUUCAUAUGACAGUGAGUAAGCUGACCUUCUUUUGUGUAGGUUUUAUUUUCCUUCCAAUAGCGGACAGGAUCUGGCAGUGUACUGCCUGGUAUUUGAUCUGGCUUAAGAGAACUUCCGGAGGAAUAAAACACGCUUAAAUAAAAGCAUGUGGUUUUCUCAACUCUCAUUUAGAAAAGUUUUCCUAAUUCUCAGUAAUGAUUGACCUCAAAUCCCCAGCCUCUCGGGAUGAAAUGUGUUUGGCACCGUUGCUUAAGUGUCGUGGCAGACGAUGCUUGAUGCUCUCCACAUCCAUUCUCUUCUUGGUCCUCAGUAAUGGGGCCAGGCUGUUGGGUAGGCACAUGGCCAUUCUGGAUAAAGACCACAUUUCCUGACUUGUAGCUGGAUGUACUCAUGUCAUAAGCUGAGACCGAGGGGAUAUAUGCAAUUCUGGGACUUGGCCUUCAAGGGAGAAGGUGUAAUCUCCCAUCUUUUCUCCUUCCUGCUGGUUCGUGUGAGAAGGGAACUACUCGAGCUGCCACCUGGGACCCAUAGCGGAAGCUUCUCUCUGAGGAUGGCGAUGAGCCCACAUCAGAUGGAAACUCCUGGGUUCUCUGAUGACUGCGGGGCCACCAUACCAGUCCCGGACACCCUUCAUUUAUGUUAUCUUUAGGUUAAAUACCAGCGGAACUGUCAGCCUGCAAGUCUCAGAGAUGGAUGCUUUGUGAAGUGCUACAAAAGGAUGAUCCUUCCCACAUCCUCAUGAAUUUACGUCACUUUUGUGGAAGAACAAGGCUCAAGACAGUCAAUGCCAAAGAUCAUCCUGUCUCCAGGCUCUGCUGAACCUGCCGAUCGGUGGGAAAUGACGGGAGACAAUGAGUCCACUGAGAGGUGAUGGAGAAUGGCAGGCACUGAGCUAAGAUACCUUAAAUGUGAUGCUUCUCAUGCUGACGGCCAACUGAAAACAAUCUCAUCAUUACUUCUUAUUAUGAUAUACAUUUUAAUUUGUUUUUCUCCUCAAUCUGGGUAUAGCUGCUAUGCAAAUAUGUCUUUUAAAUGUUUGGAUAGAGGCCACGCCCAUGAUGUUAAAAGUUAGCAAUCAGUAUUUAUGUAACUUCGUAGGUCUUGUGAGAGGGCGCAAAUCUGAAUGCAUACAUCUUACUAAUUAAGCUCAUUGAAGACAUGCAAUAAACCACACUCAAGAUGCAGUUACCUUUAAUUUUGGUGGAUUGAUCUCCUGUUGAUAAGAAUAUUUAGGGAGGAGAGGAGGUGAGCAGGGCUGAGAAAGUGUAGAGUCCAGGUCAGAAACAGAGGCGAAGAGAGAAUGAAAUGGAGGGGAGGAAAGCAGGUGGCUGGGAAAGGGUGUGGGUGCUUGCUCUCCCGAAGAAAAUGACGGAGGCUUAAAUAUCGAGGAAAGACGAGAGGUGAUUAUGCUUGUCUCAGAAUGAGGUUACAUGCUCUUUACGGAAUUUCCUCUCAACUUCCAACAUUUUAAAGUUACUAAUAACCUUGGGAAGUUAUAUUUAUGACAAAUUUUUUGCUUUGAAACCACUAACUUCCUCUUUUGAAUUUGAUUCAAAAUCCCCAAUGGUAUGAUCAGUUUAAUUUUUCGCAUGGGGGUGGCUGGAGAUAGGAACACCUAUAUUCUAUCAUUUUCUCAUAUAUUUAUAUGAUGGCUCCUUCUAAAAGUGAAGGAAAAAAGUAUUUAAAACCCUGCAAUGACUGUAACUUGCGUGUAAAGUAGGUUGCCAACUAUAGUCAGCGUGUCACAAAGCUGGGGAAGCCGUGGCCCCGCGUGCAGGGUGUGAGCUGGUGCUGGGAUGAGCCGGCCUAGGGUACUGUCUGUGUCAGCAAAGCCACACAUCUAAUCACACCUUCAGAUUGAUUGAAUUGAAAGGAAUAUUAGUUACUGAAAUAAUUGAUGUAGAGACACGUUUGGCUCCUUGCAAUGAAUUAUCUAUCUGUUAUUAAAUAAGGUGUUUGUUUUACACAAAUGCAGGCCUGGCCGGGUUAUUUUGAAAUACAGGAACUAUGAAAGAAUUUGACUUGGAUAGUAGCGUAAUAGGAACCAUCCUUUCUGUUAUUUCAUAAUUUCUAUAAUUGCCAGUAAUUAUACUUGCUUCUUAAUUCACAGGGUACAUUUGUGGGAUCAAGUUUCUUUUUAUUUUUGAAAUGGAGUUUUGCUCUUUUUGCCCAGAACGGAGUGCAGUGGCACAACUUCAGUUCACUGCAACCUCCGCCUCCCGGUUUGAAGCAGUUCUCCUGCCUCAGCCUCCCGAGUAGCUGGGAUUACAGGCACCCAACACCAUGUCUGACUAAUUUUUGUAUUUUUAGUGGAGAUGGGGGUUUUACCAUGUUGGACAGGUUGGUUUCGAACUCCUGACCUCAGAUGAUCCACCAGCCUUGGGCUCCCAAAGUGCUGGAUUACAGGCGUAAGCCACCGCAGCUGGCCUUAAGUUUCUCUUUUUUUUUGAGAUGGAGUCUCGCUCUGUCACCCAGGCUGGAGUGCACUGGCACGAUCUCAGCUCAUUACAACCUCCUCCUCCCGGGUUCAAGUGAUUCUCCUGCCUCAGCCUCCCGAGUAGCUGGGAUUGUAGGCACCCACCACCACGCCUGGCUAGUUUUUGUAUUUUUGGUAGUGACGGGGUUUCACCAUGUUGGCCAGGCUGAUCUCAAAUUCCUGACCUCAGGUGAUCUGCCUGCCUCGGCCUCUGGAAGUGCUGGCGUUGCAGGCUCGUUUUUUGUUUUAAGAGAGAGGUUUGCAAGCUAAAGUUUCUGGAUAUUUUCUGCCUUUGUUGAUUAAAACCACUGUUCAAGAUUCUUCAUAACAUGAAGAUACAGUACCCAGUUCUUAAGUAGUCAAUGUGAAGUCAACACAAAGAGAACGACCUCUUUAGAAAAUCGAAAGGGGACAGAAGUGCUGUUUUUCUUUUCUGUUGUCUUUGUUUAUUAUUAGCAUUAUUAUUUUUGCAAAGUGCCGUUAUGUCAAAGGUAUGGUGUACAGUUUCUCAUCCUGGAAUAGGACAAAUUUCUGGGCAUCAACUUCCUCUUCUCUAAAGUGGGGAUGAUAAUGUCACACACCUCACUGGGUUUUGACGAUUAAAGAUGUGGAGUUUUUAGAAUAGUGUCUGAUACUCAGUAAGAGCUCCACUAUUAGCUAUCAUUGUUAAUAUUGGAAGAUUACAAAGACUAUAUCAAUUACAAAGACUUUUACAAUAUAAGUUUAUGGUCCUGAAGAAAAAUGGGAUAAUGGAAUUAUAUCACAUAUUUACAUCAUUUAAUUAAAUAUGGUGUGUUUUCAUAUACCCACUCCACCCCCAUCUUAUAUAGUAUUUGUGUUUUUUGUUUAAAAAAAUCUGUUAGUCAAAAUAGGUAUUUAUUAAUAUGAUUAACUCUAAUAGCUAAUCAUGGUAAGGCCGGUUAGUUCUUCCAUAAUCAGACAAAAUUAAAAUACCUCAUUACUGGGUUUUGCUGCAUUGCUGUCCUCCUUGGGGGUCCUAGGAUCUGUGGGGGUGGCUAUGGGGUGUUUUAGGCAGUUGGGUUUCUCCUCCUCCUCCUCCUCUUCAAUGUGCAGGUGUGGGGUGCCCUCUGACCCAUCGUGGCCACACCACCAGGCGUCUCCUUCCUGAGGUUCUGGCGGCCCUCUCUGGAUGCCUGACACAAUCCCCUCAUAGAUGCCCUCAUCUUCCUCUCCAAUGACCGGAAGGGGUACAGGCAAGGAACCCACGCUGGUGCACGCAGAGGCCACAAAAUUAUCCCCUAGGACUUCUGGUGCCUUUUUAGGGUCUGAGAAGCCCCUUCUCAUUUUUCUCAACUCUGCAAAGUUGCUUUGAGUUGUCGUUCUGGGAUCCUGAAGAGGCUCUGCAUGGUAAGGCUGGGCUGCAGCCGAGGCCACACCCGCGUGAGUGGAAGGUGAUUCGGCAGGUGCAGUCGCUGGGGACAAUGGGAGGAGGACAGCAGGUUCCUCCUUAAUUUCCAGGAUGGCGU
rnacentral:lncRNA from 1 species